GUAAGUGUAGUGGGAAAAGAAUGGUUUAUUCCAUUUAUUUUCUUGAUUCAAUUAAAUUAAAAAUUAGAAGACCAUGGUUAUUUUAGGUAAGGAUGUGAUCAUCUUUUUAUUCCUUGCCAUUUAAAGAUAAAAACAAUUAUACAAAAAUUAAGAGAAAAUAUGGAGAGAAUAGGAAACUUACCUUUUCUUUUUAUUAAGCCAUUAUGAGAGAAUAAGGAUAAAGGGGAAAGGAAAGAGGGGAAGAGCCAUUUGCUCUUGUGGCUGCCGAAAUUAGAGAGAGAGAGAGAGAGAGAGAGAGAGAGAGAGAGAGAGAGAGAGUGGCGUGUAGAGAGAGAGGGAGAAGAAGAAAGAAAGAAAGAAGAAGAAGGUGAAGAGGAACCCAUCUUAGAGCUUGAACAAGGGUGUGAAGUUUGGGUGUUGAUCUUAUUGUGUUCUUGAUUUUACAAUCAAGAGAGGUAGCAAAUAGGAUUUCUUUAUGGCACGCGUGAUGACUUGAGGAGUUCUAUCAUCAUGGGGUGUAUGGCGUGGGGUAAUCCUAUGGACGGAAAAACGAUCAACGUAGAACGCCAUUUAAAUUAUGUUUUGUUUUUAAGAGACUUUCCUAAA